rnacentral:rRNA from 1 species
UGGGGAUGACGUCAAAUCAUCAUGCCCCUUAUGACCUGGGCUACACACGUGCUACAAUGGUUGGUACAACGAGUUGCGAGUCGGUGACGGCGAGCUAAUCUCUUAAAGCCAAUCUCAGUUCGGAUUGUAGGCUGCAACUCGCCUACAUGAAGUCGGAAUCGCUAGUAAUCGCGGAUCAGCACGCCGCGGUGAAUACGUCCCCGGGCCUU